GAGUCGCACUUGUCUGAAGCCUUGAUUGGAACUGGAGUUUCCACUUCCCAGGUGACUCUCAAAUGGCUCACAUACUAGUUGGGAUUGUUAGUUGAAGGCCCCAGUUCCUCCUUGGUAACCCUCUCUACAGAAUUGAUUGAAUGCCCUCAUGGCCUGGCAGCCUAGCUUCCACAAGAACAAACAGUCCAAGAUGCCAAGGCAGAAGCUGAAAUUCCUUUUAUAACCUAGCCCCAAAAGUUACCUUUGUCACAUCUACUGUACUCUAUUGGUUAUGCAUGUUCUGUUGGAGGAAGGAGACUAUGGAAAGGCAUGAAUAUCAAAAGGCCAUGAUCAUUGGAGCCAUCUUGGAGGCUGGCUAUCACAACACUCACCUCACUGCUAUCAGAGUGAUCCCUUAAACAUGAACCUGUCUAAUUAAAGUGGAAAUGGUGAAGAUACACUGUGGAUAGAGGAAUUGAGAAGAAUGGUGGUGAAGGUCUGAAAGAGAAUGGAAGAUAAAGCAGCAAUUUACUAUGGGCAAGCAAACAGAUACGUCGAAUGACAUUGAGGGUUUCACUGAAGACCAGUGGUUGUCUGCCAACGCUAACUGGCCAGCUCUGACAGGAGGUGCGUGGCCCAGGAGGAGCCAUCAGGCCAGUUCUCUGGGAUACUGCUGUGUCUCCAGCUCUGCAGUUUGCUCUGCAUCACUCAGCGGCAGACGGAGAGGCAGACACGAGCCCCUUGUGAGCCCUCCUCCUUACCGUCAUCCCACAAUGCUCUGAAAUAAGGAGGCAAAUGGCUGAGGUCCCCUCAGUUGUAGAUGUGAUUGAGUUCUAUCUACCAGAAGCAUAUGCCUCCUGGAAGCCCGGUUCUAACACCUCCCACAAAAUCCUUCAAGCGCUUUUUUCUGUUCCAAUGUUUGCUUAUGGGGGACCCAGUGAAGUGCUUCAGAGCCCUAGAGAUAUGCUGAGUCAUAUGAGGGGUCAGCAAACUUUUCCUGUAAAGGGUCAGAUAAUAAACAUUUUAAGCUUUGUAGACUGUAUAAAGUCUCUGUUUCUUCUCCCCCUCCUCCUCCUCUUUCUCCUUCAGCUUCUUUCCUUUAAAUAUGUACAAAACCUUUCUUCUUUUCCAAAAUCUGUCUAUAUUUGA
ensembl:lincRNA